GUUGUAUGGUUAAGUGACUAAGCGUACAUGGUGGAUGCCUUGGCAGUCAGAGGCGAUGAAGGACGUACUAACCUGCGAUAAGCCGUGAGCAGUCGGUAAGAGACAUUACGACUCACGGAUUUCCGAAUGGGGAAACCCACCUAGCAUAAGCUGGGUAUCGCUACGUGAAUACAUAGCGUAGCGAGGCGAACCGGGAGAACUGAAACAUCUAAGUACCCCGAGGAAAAGAAAUCAACCGAGAUUCCCUCA
rnacentral:rRNA from 1 species